rnacentral:rRNA from 1 species
AGCGAACGCUGGCGGCAGGCUUAACACAUGCAAGUCGAACGGGCUUCUUCGGAAGUCAGUGGCAGACGGGUGCGUAACACGUGGGAACGUGCCCUUCGGUUCGGAAUAACUCAGGGAAACUUGAGCUAAUACCGGAUACGCCCUUUUGGGGAAAGGUUGACUGCCGAAGGAUCGGCCCGCGUCUGAUUAGCUUGUUGGUGGGGUAACGGCCUACCAAGGCGACGAUCAGUAGCUGGUCUGAGAGGAUGAUCAGCCACACUGGGACUGAGACACGGCCCAGACUCCUACGGGAAGCAGCAGUGGGGAAUAUUGGACAAUGGGCGCAAGCCUGAUCCAGCCAUGCCGCGUGAGUGAUGAAGGCCUUAGGGUUGUAAAGCUCUUUUGUCCGGGACGAUAAUGACGGUACCGGAAGAAUAAGCCCCGGCUAACUUCGUG